GGAGUUUGGACCGUGUCUCAGUUCCAAUGUGGGGGACCUUCCUCUCAGAACCCCUACUGAUCGUUGGCCAGGUGGGCCGUUACCCCGCCUGCAACCUAAUCAGACGCAUCCCCAUCCCAUAGCGAUGAAUCUUUGCUUGACGUUAGAUGUCUGCUGUCAAGAACAUAGGGAAUUAAUCCGACUUUCGCUGGGCUAUUCCCGACUAUGGACAGAUUGCACACCUGUUACGCACCCGUGCGCC
rnacentral:rRNA from 1 species